CAAUAGCGUAUAUUAAAGUUGUUGCAGUUAAAAAGCUCGUAGUUGGAUUUGUGGUUCGUCCCGCCGGCUGGGUCAUUGACUUUUGCUGUGCUGGUCGUCCAUCCUUGGGAGGAAUCUGUGUGGCAUUAGGUUGUCGCGCAGGGGAUGCCCAUCGUUUACUGUGAAAAAAUUAGAGUGUUCAAAGCAGGCUUAUGCCGUUGAAUAUAUUAGCAUGGAAUAAUGAUAUAGGACCUUGGUACUAUUUUGUUGGUUUGCGCACUGAGGUAAUGAUUAAUAGGGACAGUUGGGGGUAUUCGUAUUCCAUUGUAAGAGGUGAAAUUCUUGGAUUUUUGGAAGACGAACUACUGCGAAAGCAUUUACCAAGGAUGUUUNCAUUAA
rnacentral:rRNA from 1 species